UAUCAAUAUAAGGACGACAACUCGUCCCCAUAGGUAUUAGAAGCCCUUUUCCACUUUUUUCCGAUCUUCUCUCUCGCUCUCUCUGUAGGGUGAUUCGUUUCUCACCGGCACCACAUCGACGACCAGGUGUGUUUGUGUUUUUUCUUGCCAAAUACCUCAGAGAAAGAACUACUUCACCGCUGGUCCCUACUCCUUCUCUUCUGGCGACCUCUGGUUCGGUCGACUACUUCCGGCAGUCAUUCCACUGAGAUUGCAGCUUCUCUCCAACAACUCUCAUCUUCUUCAACGGAGUUUUGAUUUUGAUAGACACCAGCGAUUUUUGGGACAUAAUGGACACCAAUGAACUUAGUAGAGAGGAGAUUGUGUUGUGAGUCAUUUAAGUAGUACUCUUCUUUGCAUGUCAAUUACUUGUUUUGUUUUUUCAGGGGUGAAGUAUCAUGAUGUGUUUAUGAAAGGUGAUACUGGUAUGGAUUAUUUGGCCUUUUACUAUAAUGAAAAGCUAAUGCUGGAAAGGCACAAAGAGACUCAAACUAGAAGACACAAAUAGAUACAUUAUUCAAAGAUUCGCCUAAAGGAGGUCGGGGACGAGAAUCAACAACUUAUAGCUAAUUCAAACUCUGGAAGAAUUAAGACAACUUUGUGCAGAAAGGAGCAACAGGUUUUUGCUUGAAAUAGUUUAGUUAAUUUGGUCCACAUUAAUAGGAGGCUUUUUUAGUUAACUUGAUGUAUCUCCAAAUGUUACCAAACUUCUAAUACUUAAAAUUAAUAAAAAAAAAAAAAGCUAUUCUUACAUGUAAUUAACAAACUAAAAAGAAUAAAAGACAAGGAAAAAACAAUGAAAAAGCUCCUAUGUUUGAUCUUGUAACUACAAAAACUAUGUGAACAGGUUAGGGUUUAAAAUAGCUCUAUAAUAGGAGAUAUGACUUAGCCUAAGCUUAUUUGACCAAAAGCUCCUUUUAUUGAUGCUCUAAAGUUUUCUAAAGUAAUAUAGUUUCUCUUUGCAUGAAGUUUAUAGAGAUGAUAUGUUAAGAAGAGAAAUUGAUGACCUCCAAAAACGAUAUCAAGUAUGUGUUCAUAGUUUUGUUUUUAUAAAUAAGGCACAACAUACACAUUUUGUUCCUUCUUUUUGAGGGAGAUUGAAGCUAUGCAUGUUUCUUUUUGUUUGCUACAUUGUGCCUUGAGCUUCAUUGUUUUUUCACUACCUUCUUUUGGUAAUAGGAAACAACUGCUAGAAAAGUAGAAGCAUGGGCUGCUGUGGAGAGAUCACUAAACAUUCGGCUUUAGAUCCGAUAAAUAACAUAUAUCAUUUUGAUUUUUAGAUUUUUAAUAAUUUUUUAUUCCAUAUAAAAUCCUGAUAGCUAAUGAUGUAGGAUGCAGAGGCCAGAGCUACAGCCUUAGAGGAAAAAUUUUGUGUUGUUAAUGAAAAAUUAUCCCACACAUUAUAUAGACUAAAUGUUCUUGAAGCUCAGAUAUCAUGUUUGAGAUCUGAGCAAACAUAACUAACUACGUCUCUUGAGAAAGAAAGUCAAAGAGCAUCCGAAAGUAAGCAGGAGUACUUGGUUCUAAAAGAGGAAGUUGAUACUCAAAAUGGUCAGGCUAAUCAACUCCAAAAAGAGAUGAGGGUACUCAAGAAGACACUAUAACAAUGUAUUUUUUUUCAGCUGGAUCAAGAAGUCCCAACCUCCACUUUCAGUUCAAUUGAAUGAUGAUGGUCAAAAUGAUGAUGAUCAAAGUAAUGAUCGACAAACUUCUAGUGGAUCCGAUUAAAUUAUGUAGUAUGUGUCAUUUUAUGAAACAUUUAAAAAUUUUCAAAUUAGGUGAUAUGUUUUUGUAAACUUGUAUAAGACUUUAAAUGUUUUGAGGUUAAAUUGUAUUUUCAUGUUUUUGCAAUUAAAUUUAUU